UUCGAGUGGCGGACGGGUGAGUAACGCGUGGGUAACCUGCCUUACACAGGGGGAUAACACCUGGAAACAGGUGCUAAUACCGCAUAAGCGCACAGGGCCGCAUGGCCCGGUGUGAAAAACUCCGGUGGUGUAAGAUGGACCCGCGUCUGAUUAGCCAGUUGGCGGGGUAACGGCCCACCAAAGCGACGAUCAGUAGCCGACCUGAGAGGGUGACCGGCCACAUUGGGACUGAGAUACGGCCCAGACUCCUACGGAAGGCAGCAG
rnacentral:rRNA from 1 species